CUAACCUGCAGCUUGUGUUUACACAGCUUCCAACAGUUCAAAAAGCCAAGGGAAGAUCAGAAGCUUAUCUUCCAGCCAACUGGGGUGGGUUGGUGGGGGUUGGUGGAAUUUGACAGAAGCUUGUAAUCAGCCACAUUGGAGGAUGAGGGGAAGGCCUGUCAUCUGUUUUGAAACGUGUUACGACAAGAUGUUACAUUUCUGGAAACCUGGGUGCAGAAAAAGAUGCACUUUUCUGAGAGUUUGUGCGGAUUGAGUGAAUCUGCUUCAUUUCAGCCCGAAGUUGCUGGAGGGUCCUUCGUCAGGAGACAGUAUAUAUAGACUUGCCAGAAGUGCAAUAAUUAUUCAGUCUCUUUCUCAGUAUUAAGCCAAUGUACAAAAUAAUUACACAUCUGCUUCUAUAGUAUGCACAGAUGUUGCUGUUGUUGUCAUUGAUUUGUUCAUUUGUUUUUGUUCAUCUUCCAUGAAUCUAUUCACAGCCGGGAAGCCAACUCCACUGUUGGUGGACAUUAAAACCUAAACAAAACAAAAAUUCCUUAGAAGACAGUUAAAGGACGGGUACGUUUAAGAGUAUGUCUCUUUUUCCCUCAGUCAAAUCUUUAUUUUUGUAAACUUUGUUUUAUCUUAAUUGAGAGGUAGUUGAAUUCCUCAGGUGUACCAAACAUUUCAAGGUCUAUAAAUAAGCCAGUUUUCUUCAUGCGUAAUCAACAUGUUGCCUAG
rnacentral:lncRNA from 1 species